UACCAUUCAUCAACAAAUCACUCAUUAAAGGUGAUGAAUAUGUUUGCUGAAGUUCUAAAGCUAAAACGCCAGUUUCAUUUCUAUAAGAGUCUUGCAAACGAUGAAAGGAACAACAUUGAAGUACCUUCCAAACACAGUCUAUCCACACCUUGGAAACACAGUUCCUGGUUUGUAGCCUCUAAAAACACUUUACACCACUUCCCAUGGAUCCAUUUCUCAGACAUCAUUCCAGUCACUCGCCCCUGAUGCCAAUGUGUACGGUGAAACAGCUCGACACAUCCCACCAACAGAUGCUCUUCAGCGUAAAAAGGAGGUAGAUCAAGAGUCUUGUUGGGUCUUGCCUUGAUAUCUUUAAGGUUCCAGGGGUAGUCACAAGCGUUGACAAUAUAUUUCUUCUCAUCAUCAUCGUCAAUCUAUUUAAUGAUCAUUGCAGUAACCCAAACGACCUCUGUUUUAUGUAAAUAAGCACUCACUUCCACUAAUAUCCAGAGCUAAAAAUUGAUUCCUCGCUCAAACGCCUCAGGAACUAGCAGUUAAGUUAACUAACUUCACAACCAAAACCUCAUACUUGCUAGAAAAGCAAUAAAAUUGGAUGAAGAAAAAAAAAACGAUGUGGUCUCAAAUAAUUUUAAGCAAACGGAAUGAUCUCAGGUGGUGUGAAUCAAACAACACCAAGUACUUGUCACCACCAAUUUGUUUGACCACAAGACCAGUCCACCACAUACCUUUCUGAUCAGCGUCCACGAUGGAGCCUACCUUGAUAAUGAUGCCAACUUGUACAUGCUCCGGUGGAAUCGGUCAUCCUUAAGCAACCGGACACACCUUUCUCUUUGGCGGAGUCUAGACUUGGGAUUUGCCUCUAUAAUGGCUUUACACCAAACGUUGACAAAGCCUUUGUUUCGGUAAGAGAUUUCAACUUCACUACCUUCCAUGAAGGAUAGCAUUUCACUCGGAACGUACCUCAUGCUUGAUUACUCACAGUGAAGAAAAAAACGAAGCCUAAAACUGAAAAGACCCACAUUCACUUAAUUUCAUCCCAAAUGGCAUAUAAUAUCUAACUAUACUAAAAAGAGGAUAUAUUGAUCAGAAAAGGUGUCCACGUCAGACAAUAAAAUCUACCAAUCAGGUUUUAACGUUUUGCCACGUAAUCAAAUGAUUUUGGAUGUUGGGCUUUGUUUGUAAUAUAUGGUGUAACUGGGCUGUUUGAUUGGUAAGAGUCUGGGCCCAAUGUGAAGGAGAUCACUCUAACCCUAACACCCUGUAUCGAAGAAACGAAGUUCGUCACUUCUUUAUGUGCGGCGGCGAUCCGGUGACCUCUGACCUUCUUCUGACGACAUGAAACGGUGUGAUUAAUGGCUUCCUCAUAAAUCUCAUUUAUUGGCUCCAUCACGAUGUGUAUUCAAAGCUUCCCAAUGAUUUUAGAGACGGUGCCAUGAUCUGUAUAAAUAGAGUUUUUGUGUAGAGCUUUCGUAACCUGUAAAGACGCUGAUGUAGUUCGAGAAAAGGAGUAGCAGAGCUAAGGGUCUGAACUUCCACCCCAAAAAACCAAGAAAUCUCACCAAUUUUUUCAGAGGUGUCAUCCAGCAAUGGUAUUAUCUAAUGGGUUCGGUCGUUCUCACUCUACAGCUUUUCUUCCUCUCAGCAUGUAAGAUAGGAAAUCUAUUUACAUGUUAAAAUCUGGACACUACGUAGAUUUACUGAAUUUUUAUAUGUUAGAUACUCCUCCACUCAUAUAUCUUUGUAAAUUAUGCUUUACAUUCAUAUGUAUGUGUUGAAUAUAUGAAUAGUCUUCUAGAUUCUCGAAGUUGUUGAGAGACAUAAUCAAUUCACAUAUAGAUUUUUAUUUUGUUCAUGAUCCAUGUUGUGCUUUUGAUAAACAUAUGCAUAUAUGAUAGUGCUGAUGAAAAAAAAAAAUAGAAACUGUUUUAAUAAAUCAUAAGUUUUGGAGCAUCCUAGGAUCAAAAGAGAAGCAAGCACAUAUAGAUAAAAAUUUGAUCGUUCUUCUAAGAGUUGCUUGCAUAUCUUUGUUUCUUUUUUGCUCUUUUGUUUUCCCUGUUUUUCUACAUUCUAUUUAAUAUUAAGUUUUAAAUGUCAGAGAAACCAUAUUGUCUUCAAUUAAUUCUUGCAGAGGAAGUGACAACGGUCUUAUGAGUUAUGACGUCCCUGAGGCUGCGGAAACGUGAUCAAGGUGUGAUUCAUUGGUUUCUUCAGUUUAGAGUCCACAAAAUUCAUGUUCUAUCAAUUUUGUAUUCUACUUUUUAUCUUUUCAGUUGUAAAAAAGAAGACCAAAUAUAGGAGUGUGCUAAUUUUUAGUGAAUGAAGCUAUUUACUUAUGUUUCUUAAUAUUCUUCUCUUUGUUAUUGUAAAAGACAAGUGGGGUUUUUAUUGCAAGAGCUAAUUGUAAUUACCAGCUGUUUUUAAUCAAUAAUGCACUUCUCUGCAAUUUUCAAUUUUUGUUUCUUUUUUUUUUUGUCAAACCAUUUCUUCCAUAAAUUUAAAUUAAAACUAAGCGACAGAGUUAGCAAUCCAUGAAGGAUUGUUCGAUAACAUAAACAAAGCAUGUUUGGCGAGCUUAUCAGCUUGCACAUUACAUUUUUGUUCAUUAUUUAAUUUCUGGUUGGCUAUUAUAUAUUUUGCUGACGUUAAGCACAAUUUUAUUGUGGUAUCAAAGAGAUGACGUCUACGAGUUUAACUCUGGUUCAUGAAGAGACCUUUAUGGUAGUAUCACUCAGGGUCUGUCCCUAGAUUACUUAUAUGGUUUUCCCAGUUUGUGCAGUUUACAUGUUUGGUACAGAUGAAACAGGAGGAACACAACGUGGGAUCUUUCUCACGUUUAAUUUAUUUAACAUGACAAAACAAUAGCUUGGUUGUUUUUAGCUGUACAUAUAUAUGUAAGAAUACUUCUUUUUAGCCAUGGACGGUUGAUUAUUGUCUAAGCGUGCUGGCUGAAACAGAUGUAUCUGAAGGGAAGAGACGAUUCAUGUUAAUGCAAUGAGUCAGUAUAUCUAUGUAUAUGUAAGAAUGAUUUUUUUCCCCACUGAUACCUGUUCCUGGAGAACAUAUAUACAGUACUUACCCUUCCGUGUUUUUUUUAUUGGUUCUUCUUUUAAUUUAUAUUAUAGUUUUGUUUUAAGAAAAAACAUCAGUUAUAUAUCAUGCAUUAGUGCGUUAUCAUGUGACAUCACAACUA